ACCCCCAAUCUUCUCAGAUUGACCUCGGAUCAGGUAGGGAUACCCGCUGAACUUAAGCAUAUCAAUAAGCGGAGGAAAAGAAACCAACCGGGAUUGCCUCAGUAACGGCGAGUGAAGCGGCAAGAGCUCAAAUUUGAAAGCUGGCCCCUCCGGGGUCCGCGUUGUAAUUUGCAGAGGAUGCUUUGGGUGCGGCCCCCGUCUAAGUGCCCUGGAACGGGCCGUCAGAGAGGGUGAGAAUCCCGUCUUGGGCGGGGUGUCCGUGCCCGUGUAAAGCUCCUUCGACGAGUCGAGUUGUUUGGGAAUGCAGCUCUAAAUGGGUGGUAAAUUUCAUCUAAAGCUAAAUACUGGCCGGAGACCGAUAGCGCACAAGUAGAGUGAUCGAAAGAUGAAAAGCACUUUGAAAAGAGAGUUAAACAGCACGUGAAAUUGUUGAAAGGGAAGCGCUUGCGACCAGACUCGCCCUCGGGGUUCAGCCGGCACUCGUGCCGGUGUACUUCCCCGGGGGCGGGCCAGCGUCAGCUUGGGCGGCCGGUCAAAGGCCUCCGGAAUGUAGUGCCCCCCGGGGCACCUUAUAGCCGGAGGUGCAAUGCGGCCAGCCUGGGCUGAGGAACGCGCUUCGGCACGGACGCUGGCAUAAUGGUCGCAAACGACC
rnacentral:rRNA from 1 species